rnacentral:lncRNA from 1 species
GCCUCAGCAACCAACCUCCAGGGAGGGGAAAGGGGGCAGAAGUUUGAGUUAAUAACUAAUAGCUAAAGAUGUAAACAAUAAGCCUCCAUAAAACCCCAAAAGGACUGGACUGGUUUCUGAGAGCUUCCAGGUUGUUGAGCACGUGGAGGUUCUGGGAGGGUCCACACCCAGAGAAGGCAUGGAAGCUGACCCCUUCCCCAUACCUUGCUCUUUGCAUCUCUUCCAUUUGGCUGUUCCCGAGUUGUAUACUUUGUAAUAAGUGGGAUUUCCACCCAACAACAAUUCAGCCACACUGCUUCACACAUCUAGAAUCCAUCCAAAAUUGUAAAGGCUUUGUGGCACUACAGUGAAACAGGCAAGAACAUCUUCCAAACAUCCAGCACAAGAGCACACAGGAGGCCGGCAUAAUCACGAAUUGCAGCUGUCUGAAGGGCAGUCACAUAAAAGAGGAGAAGCUUCACCUUUGCUUCACAAGGCACAUCUUGAACCAGGGAUGGAAAUUACAGAGAGGCCAAAACCAGCUCGGUGUGAGCAGGACUGGUAACAGACUGGCCAAGCAACAGAAGGGGCUGCCCUGUGAAGAAGCAAGCUCUCUGUCAAUGGGAGGUGCAAGCUGAGCCUGCACUACCUUUUGUCACGGUUGCUAUGGAAAAGAUUAAGAGCCCGGGCUGCUUGAGUGUCUGCAUGACAUGGCAGCUGGCUCCCUGAAGAGCACGUGAUCCGAAAGAGAGAGCAAGACAGAAGCGCAGUGUCUUCAACAGCAUAUCUUUGAAAGUCAUAUUCCACCGUUUUCACUACAUUCUAUUGAUAAGAUAGCCCUUCCUCCUCUGGGGGCCUGGGCAUCAGCAAGUCGGAUGGCAGUGGAAGGUGGAGAAAUGGAAUCCUGCUGGGGGCUCAGGAGGCCUGCCCCCUGAUGCUGCCGUGCACUGCAGAUGUCCUUGAUGAAGAGAAUGAAUGGAAGUGCCAGAAAGCCUUUAACAUAUUGGGUCCGGUCUAGAUUUGUAAGGAAGUAUGGCUGAAUUGUUAUCGGGUGGAUACAGUUUACAUGUUUAAAGCUGUCUUUCUCAAUGGCAAAAGGGCAUACUGCUGUUAUUGUCAGUGAGGGGUCAGUAGUUUAAAUGAUGAAACUCUGGGGAUCAGCGUAAAGUAAACCAACAUACUGCAUGUAAAUUCCUCAUUCUUACUGCUGUGAGAACAAUUGUUAGGAGCCAAAAACUUCAGAGCUUUCAAAGAACUGUAAUGAGAUAGCACAAUGCAGGCAAAAAGCCAGUGUUAACGGAGCAAGAAACUUCCCAGUUCUGACAUUCACAGCAUGACCUAGAGCAUGCGGAUUCCCCUCUCUGAGUCACUGGUUUCUCACCUGCAAAAGAAAGCGGGGACAGGGAAGGAGGAAGAAGCUUCGAGAGGCUGGAACAGUUGAGGGAGCGCUGACACGGUAAAGGCCACUUUGCUCAUCAUCACCAGGCGUGCUGCCGAAAAUUUCCACUCUGUUUACUCCCAAGACCUUACUCCUACUAUGUGGAGACACAUUUGAAUAAAAAAUUGGCCUCUUUUCAAAGUCAAAA